UAGAUACCCUGGUAGUCCACGCCGUAAACGAUGAUCACUAGACGUCAGUUUCGUUUAACGAAAUUGGUGUCGUAGCUAACGCGUUAAGUGAUCCGCCUGGGGACUACGGUCGCAAGACUAAAACUCAAAUGAAAUUGACGGGGGCCCGCACAAGCGGUGGAACAUGUGGUUUAAUUCGACACUACGCGAGGAACCUUACCUGGGCUUGACAUGCAUAUGACCGUCGUAGAAAUACGAUCUUCUAAGUUUA
rnacentral:rRNA from 1 species